rnacentral:sRNA from 1 species
UUCACACGAUCGAGAGUAUCUUGUAUGCGAUGGGGAGGAGACUUAUUCCUCUGUAGUUGGCACAUUCAGUCUUGUCUUCUUUCCUGUGUACGAGACAUUAUUAUAACCCACUAUUUUAAAUUUCGUCAAAAUCGGGUAAAAAAAUCAAUCUUUGCGCCCUCAAGAAGCCUUACGCUGGUGAGUAUAGAAACUCUUUUUAGACAAAUGUCUCACGCACUAGCUCCCUUGUGUUGUAGGGUUGUGUACGACACCGAGCAUUGUGAUAAAAGCUUGUCUAGGCAGCAAGCAACUCAAAAUAGAAUCGAAUUACCCUAUUACUUUUGGAAGUUGGCCUAUGAGUGGUAUAGUCAAUUUGCCAAGACUUUUGUGUUUUCUUACUUCAUUUACCCAAAUAAGUUGUGGAAAGGGUAAUGGCUCAAUAAUAAGUUAGUUGGUUCAAGUUAUCGAUAUCAACAAUUUCAUUGUUUUAUGUGAUUGCCUCUGGCAAUUGUUGAAAUAGAAUUUCAUUAUUAUCAUCACUAUAGCAACAGGCGACAUCCCCCAAAGCUUAAUGCGGGAGUGCUUUUUUUCGAAAAAAAAAAUUAAAAAAUUAAAAUUGAAGAAAACCAUUUUUAAAUACAUUCAUGCGAGAAAACACUUUUAUAUUCCUGAAAUUCAGCAUUUAGCACCAUUGCUCUACUACACACAAAGAACUAAAAAUCCUCGUUUCUUAUGAUUUCGUGAAAUUUUUGGAAAAUUGUAAUUUUCGUUUCUUUUCCGUUUUAAUCAAUUAUGAAAUAGCCCUCCCACGGAUCUCAAAGUACUAUGAAAGUGUAGGAGAUCCAAACUCGUGGCGUUUGGGACGCAUAGACGAGACUGAUACAGAGACGGCCGUAUGAGUACGCAAGAAAACACUACUGAUAUUACACGAGAGUGCUCGUCGACCCCCGUAAGUUUAGACUUUGAGAUUAUUUUCGAGUAUUAUUAGUAAUUAAGGAUGAUGAUUACCUUUUAUUCAACGAAUAAUGCUGUACUACUUUAAAAAGCACACGCACCACCCGACCCCUCCCCUCCCCCAAAAACAAAGAAACAACAAAAAAACAGAUACAUUAUCGUCAUGUGUACUAUUAACAAUUAUCGUAUAGUCGUCAUCGAUCAUCGCAUUCUUAGUAUCUGACUAGUCAUGAAAUCAAAAAUCUUUAUCUAAAUCUAAAUCUGCCGGUUAAUCAGUAUUAACGAAGAACAAACAACAACAACAGCAUGCUGGUUAAAGUAGUACAUUGGUAUUUAGUGAAAUUUGUUAUAUAUACAUAAAUAUUUUUUCAUAUUUACAAAUCUAAGCGAAUAUAGUAUGUAUGUGAAUGUGACAAAACCAAAAACAAAACAAAAACCCAAAACCAAAUAAUAACUUAUAGUAAAAAAAAAACAACAACAACAAAAUCAUAGAUAAAUCGAAUAUUGUUGAAAUUGAACAAUUAUAUUGAAUCUAAGUAAGAAACAAAAUAAAAAUGAAUAAAAUUUGUUUAGUGAUGCAAAAUACA